rnacentral:lncRNA from 1 species
ACAAAGAAUCCUAUAAAAUUUAUUUAUUGGGCUGAAGUCAAACAGGCAUUGGCAUAGGUCCAAUUGUGAAAGAACGGGACGCUGGACAUGGGCCUGCGUGGCCAGGGGGCUGAGGCCCAAUAUUAAUAAUCAAUUCAAUGCAACAAGCACUUUAACACCACUCUACAUAAACUUUUAUGUGAAGCUGUAAUUAUUAAGCUUUUAUAAAGUAUUUGACUACUGGACUAAUGAUACUAAUUCUACAAUGAACUGAACUUCAAAGAUAAUAAACCUGCUGAUCCUACCGAUAUGAACAAAAUCACAAGCUUCGAAUUACUCUCUUCCAGUUUUCAUGAAUUCAAAAUUAUACUUCACAGGUCAAAAUAAAUUCUAGAAUUAAUUAUUUACCAGCUCCAAUGCCCACAGAUAUAAAGCAAUCCAAACUACUUAAAAUAUCUCUAAUCACAGUCCAGAAAUAGUUCUAGUUAACAAUCCCCUUGUGAUUCAAAUCUAACAAAUCAAAUCUACAUCAUCACUCAUUAUUUGAACAAUUACGACCAUAUAUUCAAAUGAAUACAGAUCAUUUGUCACAAUUGCAGUUUUCAUUCUAAAUUGGAGCUACAUCAAUAUGUUUCGAGCGUGUACCUGAAUAUUGAAUGGAAAUGAGAGUAGAAAAGGUCGGUUACAGCAACAGUCGAGUAGCAGCAGUAAUAUUCGACUCUCAGCAGCAGAACAAUGAACCAGUCCUACUUUUUCCUACUUUUUUUUGUAUUUUCGUAUUUGCUUUUUUUUUUUUUUUUUUUUUUUUUUUUUUUUUAUCCCCUUUUUUUUAGGGGGAUCCCUGCAAAAAAAAANNNNNNNNNNNNNNNNNNNNNNNNNNNNNNNNNNNNNNNNNNNNNNNNNNNNNNNNNNNNNNNNNNNNNNNNNNNNNNNNNNNNNNNNNNNNNNNUUUGUUUUUUUUUUUUUUUUUUUUGUAUCUUUUGAGAGAAUUAAGAACUAUGAGAAUUUGAAAUCUGAAUCUGGGGAGUGUUUUUGGAAUUGUGAUGGCUGAAAAUGAAGACCUCACUAAGGCAUUUUAAUGAGUUUUAUAGGCACAAAGUGAACUCCAUAGAUUUUUAGUUUUCUUUUUAAGUCCUUAUUCAGUUUCAGUUUAGUCCCUCGUUUUAAGAUGCAAGUUAAUCCCUUAAUUUCCUAUUAAUUGAAACUAGACUCCUAUUCUAGAAUGUUCUAGGGCAUUCCUAAUUAUCUACUUGUAAGACUCCCUAUGUAAAAAUUAUUAUACUAUCCUUUAAUCUAGAAGUUUAACACUAAUUAACCCCAAUCCCUUUUUCCCUGAUUAAAACAUCAAUCUAAACCAAUUUACCCUAAAUUCAAAUAAACAACUCAAUUAAUUCGGAAAUCGGACAAUUAUAACAAAGAAGUGACACUAAGAAGAAGAAUCAUUACACUAAAUUAAAGUAAAUCUUAAAACAAAUUUAACCAAAACACAAUGAAACAACAAUGGCCAAUUAAACUUAUGCAGAAUCCAAAAGAUUAAAGGGAUAUUAACUAAGUUAAGAAUCGACAAUUAGAAUACGGUCAAACAAUACAAGAUGAAUCAGAUGAACAACCACACAUGACUCAGAACACGAGAUGGGAAAAGAAAAAUAAACAUGUAAAUCGAAUUGGAAAUUAACCUACAUGAGAAUGGGAACAAAUAGAAGAAAAUUAACCCAAUCGAGAACUCACGAAUGGGCUCGAGGUCUAUUAUCUCUUGGUUCGAAAUUUGUGCAGUCCUGUUGUUAUUUUACCACCAAUUAUAAUAGAGGUGUCACGAGGAAGGCGGGGAAGGUCCCAUAGCCUUGAUUUGGUGAAGUUUGGCGAAGCCACAAUUUGCCGGAAAAUUUCAAACCCAGAUUCGAGCAAUUCUAGCCAUAGUUGAGGGUUGAGAUUAAGGAGGUUUGAUAGGGGAUGGGGAGAGGAAGCUAUUUUGUUAAUCUGGUGUCCUUUGGACGUGGUGAUGUCGUGGCCAAAAAAUGUUCCAACGGAUAUUCAACGAUCUCUGGUGAGAUUCGAUGGAAACCAAUGGGAUGGUUGGAAAGAGGGGUUCAUGGGGAGUCUGUGGUGUAAAUUUGGGUGUGAACGGCGAUGGGGGUGUCCACCACCGGCGGUGGUUCCGGCGGAAUCACAGAGAUGAUACAAGGAAUAGAACUUGGUUGUU